rnacentral:rRNA from 1 species
CCUACGGGAGGCUGCAGUGAGGAAUAUUGGUCAAUGGGCGCGAGCCUGAACCAGCCAAGUCGCGUGAGGGAAGACGGCCCUACGGGUUGUAAACCUCUUUUGCCGGGGAGCAACGGGCGCCACGUGUGGCGCCACUGAGAGUACCCGGAGAAAAAGCAUCGGCUAACUCCGUGCCAGCAGCCGCGGUAAUACGGAGGAUGCGAGCGUUAUCCGGAUUUAUUGGGGUUAAAGGGUGCGUAGGCGGAGGGCUAAGUCAGUGGUCAAAUGGAGGGGCUAAACCCCUUCCCGCCAUUGAAACUGGCGAUCUUGAGUGGAAGAGAAGUAUGCGGAAUGCGUGGUGUAGCGGUGAAAUGCAUAGAUAUCACGCAGAACCCCGGUUGCGAAGGCAGCAUGCCGGCUUCCGACUGACGCUGAAGCACGAAAGCGUGGGGAUCGAACAGGAUUAGAUACCCUGGUAGUC